CGUUGAUGAUCGGUGCUUGCACCGAGAUUCAACAUGGAACGAGUGGCGGACGGGUGAGUAACACGUGGGUAACCUGCCCUUAAGUGGGGGAUAACAUUUGGAAACAGAUGCUAAUACCGCAUAGAUCCAAGAACCGCAUGGUUCUUGGCUGAAAGAUGGCGUAAGCUAUCGCUUUUGGAUGGACCCGCGGCGUAUUAGCUAGUUGGUGAGGUAAUGGCUCACCAAGGCGAUGAUACGUAGCCGAACUGAGAGGUUGAUCGGCCACAUUGGGACUGAGACACGGCCCAAACUCCUACGGGAGGCAGCAGUAGGGAAUCUUCCACAAUGGACGCAAGUCUGAUGGAGCAACGCCGCGUGAGUGAAGAAGGCUUUCGGGUCGUAAAACUCUGUUGUUGGAGAAGAAUGGUCGGCAGAGUAACUGUUGUCGGCGUGACGGUAUCCAACCAGAAAGCCACGGCUAACUACGUGCCAGCAGCCGCGGUAAUACGUAGGUGGCAAGCGUUAUCCGGAUUUAUUGGGCGUAAAGCGAGCGCAGGCGGUUUUUUAAGUCUGAUGUGAAAGCCCUCGGCUUAACCGAGGAAGCGCAUCGGAAACUGGGAAACUUGAGUGCAGAAGAGGACAGUGGAACUCCAUGUGUAGCGGUGAAAUGCGUAGAUAUAUGGAAGAACACCAGUGGCGAAGGCGGCUGUCUGGUCUGUAACUGACGCUGAGGCUCGAAAGCAUGGGUAGCGAACAGGAUUAGAUACCCUGGUAGUCCAUGCCGUAAACGAUGAAUGCUAGGUGUUGGAGGGUUUCCGCCCUUCAGUGCCGCAGCUAACGCAUUAAGCAUUCCGCCUGGGGAGUACGACCGCAAGGUUGAAACUCAAAGGAAUUGACGGGGGCCCGCACAAGCGGUGGAGCAUGUGGUUUAAUUCGAAGCAACGCGAAGAACCUUACCAGGUCUUGACAUCUUUUGAUCACCUGAG
rnacentral:rRNA from 1 species